GGGGAAUAUUGCACAAUGGGCGAAAGCCUGAUGCAGCAACGCCGCGUGAGUGAAGGAGGUUUUCGGAUUGUAAAGCUCUGUCAUCUGGGACGAUAAUGACGGUACCAGAUGAGGAAGCCACGGCUAACUACGUGCCAGCAGCCGCGGUAAUACGUAGGUGGCAAGCGUUGUCCGGAAUUACUGGGCGUAAAGGGUGCGCAGGCGGACAUUUAAGUGAGAUGUGAAAGACCCGGGCUUAACUUGGGCAGUGCAUUUCAAACUGGAUGUCUGGAGUGCAGGAGAGGAAAGCAGAAUUCCUAGUGUAGCGGUGAAAUGCGUAGAGAUUAGGAAGAAUACCAGUGGCGAAGGCGGCUCUCUGGUCUGUAACUGACGCUGAGGCGCGAAAGCGUGGGGAGCAAAC
rnacentral:rRNA from 1 species